UACGUAGGUGGCAAGCGUUGUCCGGAUUUACUGGGCGUAAAGGGCGCGUAGGCGGCCCUCCUAGUCGCGUGUGAAAGCCUCGGGCUCAACCUGGGAAUUGCGCGCGAAACGGGGGGGCUUGAGUUCGGGAGAGGAGCGUGGAAUUCCUGGUGUAGCGGUGAAAUGCGCAGAUAUCAGGAGGAACACCGAUGGCGAAGGCAGCUCGCUGGGACGGUACUGACGCUGAGGCGCGAAAGCGUGGGGAGCAAACAGG
rnacentral:rRNA from 1 species